rnacentral:rRNA from 1 species
GGCGGCGAGCGGCGGACGGGUGAGUAACGCGUAGGAAUCUACCUGGUAGUGGGGGAUAGCCCGGGGAAACUCGGAUUAAUACCGCAUACGACCUACGGGUGAAAGCAGGGGAUCUUCGGACCUUGCGUUAUUAGAGCGGCCGAUAUCUGAUUAGGUAGUUGGUAGGGUAAAGGCCUACCAAGCCGACGAUCAGUAGCUGGUCUGAGAGGACGAUCAGCCACACUGGAACUGAGACACGGUCCAGACUCC